rnacentral:rRNA from 1 species
GACGAACGCUGGCGGCGUGCUUAACACAUGCAAGUCGAACGGAAAGGCCCUGCUUUUGUGGGGUGCGCGAGUGGCGAACGCGUGAGUAUCACGUGAGUAACCUGUCCUUGACUUUGGGAUAACUUCAGGAAACUGGGGUUAAUACCGGACAUGAGCUCCUGCUGCACGGUGGGGGUUGGUAAGUUGCGGCGUUUGGGGAUGGACGCGAGGUCUAUCCGCUUGUUGGCGGGGUAGUGGCGUACCAAGGCAUUGACGGGUAGCCGCCCUGAGAGGGUGACCGGGCACAUUGGGCCUGAGGUGCGGGCCAGAGGGCUACGGGAGGCAGCGGUGGAAGUUAUUGCGCAAUGGGCGGAAGCCUGAUGCAGCAACGCCGCGUGCGGGAUGACGGCCUGCGGGUAGUAAACCGCUUUCGCCUGUGACGAAGCGUGAGUGACGGUAAUGGGUAAAGAAGCAACGGCUAACUACGUG